CUGGGUGGAUGAGUGGGAGAGGUGGGCGCCUAGUCAGAUCCCCAGCCCGGCGGGUGGUGUCCUGGCAGGCGCUGAGCGGGGCUCUUGCAGGCAGUAUCCUUGUCCUCGAAGUCUGGCCUUUCCCGCGGGCGGAAGGUGAUGCUGUCAGCGCUGGGCAUGCUGGCGGCGGGUAGUGCAGGGCUGGCAGUGGCUCUGCAUUCUGCUGUGAAUGCCAGUGACCUGGAGCUGCACCCCCCCAGCUAUCCGUGGUCUCACCGUGGCCUCCUCUCUUCCUUGGACCACACCAGGUGCGCAGCUGGCCGGCUUGCUGGCCUGGGGUUUCUGGGUGGAGUGGAAUCUUCAGUUCCCUUAAAACUUUCUCUCUUUUUAGCAUCCGGAGGGGUUUCCAGGUAUAUAAGCAGGUGUGCUCUUCCUGCCACAGCAUGGACUACGUGGCUUACCGCCACCUGGUGGGCGUGUGCUACACUGAGGAUGAAGCUAAGGCCCUAGCUGAAGAGGUGUGGAACCCUGGAGACAGAGUGUUCGGGGUUGGGGCUCCCACUGUGAUGUGAUGGCAGGAUUGUAAUGAGGCUCUUGGUGGCAGGUGGAGGUCCAGGAUGGCCCCAAUGAGGAUGGAGAGAUGUUCAUGCGGCCAGGGAAGCUGUCUGACUACUUCCCCAAACCGUACUCCAACCCUGAGGCUGCCAGGGCUGCCAAUAAUGGAGCCUUGCCCCCUGACCUCAGUUAUAUAGUUCGAGCUAGGUAAAGGGGCUGCCCACAGGGUGGAACUGGAGAGGGGAACUGACUUCUGUCAGGGACUAAGAAGCCGUGAAUCUGGUUCCAGGCAUGGUGGUGAGGACUAUGUCUUCUCCUUGCUCACGGGGUACUGUGAGCCACCCACUGGCGUGUCUCUACGAGAAGGCCUCUAUUUCAACCCCUACUUCCCUGGCCAGGCCAUCGGCAUGGCCCCUCCCAUCUACACUGAUGUCUUGGAGUUUGAUGAUGGUGAGAGUCCUUCACCAUGAAUCCUUUCCCAUCCCCCAGGGAUGCUUGCCUUAUAUUUCUGGGCCUGAGAGAUCCUGCCCCUUUCUUGGCUGGGGUGUUUUGUGCAUGCAUGAGGAGAUUUUCACAGUCUUGUGGGGUCCUGUCCCUUUGAAACCUUGGGUAGAGGUCAGUCUCUACCUCCAUGGAACAGAGUGCACUGAGGGUUACCCCAGGUUGGUCAUGAGCCCCAAAAGGUAAUUUUCAUUAUGUGUCCUUGGCCCAGGUACUCCAGCUACCAUGUCCCAGGUAGCUAAGGAUGUGUGUACUUUCCUGCGCUGGGCGUCUGAGCCAGAACAUGACCAUCGCAAACGCAUGGGACUCAAGGUGAAGGAUUGGGCAAGGGAGCUACAGUGAGUAUGGGAGAACAGUUGGGAAGGAUCCUUCCUAGCCCCCUUUUCUGAGCCUGUUUUGUCCCCAGAUGUUGAUGAUGAUGGGCUUGCUGCUGCCUUUGAUCUACGCCAUGAAGCGGCAUAAGUGGUCAGUCCUGAAGAGUCGAAAGCUGGCAUAUAGGCCACCCAAGUGACCCUUUCCAGCAUCUACUUGCCAUCUUGCCUGAACAGACCCUCAAGCCCAGGAGCCAUCCUAGGCCUGUUCAGGCCUUACCUGGCCCACUCGGCCCGGCCCCUCUUCGUCUGGGAUGAGGGAGGGGGCAGGAGACUGGGCCUUGGCUCCAGAUUUCAUUUAGCCUCAUCAUGGGAAUAAAUUAAGUUUCUCAACAUACACAUUUGAACUUUUAUCUGACAAGAGUGUAGUCUUGC
rnacentral:lncRNA from 1 species